GCAUCCUGAAGACAGAGAGGACUAACCAGCGCUUCCCCUUCCCCAUGAGUUCCGCUGACAGUCGAGAAAAAUAUACAAAACAACAGAUUGCAGUUCACCCAGAAGGGCAAGCCCCCAUUUUGCCAAGCUGUAGGGUACACAAAACCCAUCCACACACAUCUGAGUUCCUUCAAAGCACUGACCACCAAAGUCAAGAGUUGGGUGUGAAGUGUUGUUUUGCUACUUUACGAAAGCUCAAGGCACAGUUUGCCACAAUCACUACUAUAAAAGUUAAGUUCAAAAGGAGCUCAAGCCUUAGCAUUUUACAUAGUGCACAGUUAAAAAAACCCAGCCAAAUGACAAAUCUUGGUUAAAAUUUCCAGAAAUCUAUGCCAAUUCUUUAGCUUUUAAAAAGGAUUUCCGUUGUGAUAUGCACAGCUUCCAAUGUUUAAUAGCGUGGAUGUGGAAAUGGAAUACAAUCACGUGUUCAAGUGAAUCAAACCCACAAAAUUAGGGGAAAAACAAUUAAGACAAAAUUUACUUCAGUGACCACAAUUUUGCUGAAUCAC